rnacentral:lncRNA from 1 species
AAAGAAUAAACAUAUACAUGACUCAUAAGCUUUUAUAGAAUCCUUGUUCUCUAUUUCUGACAUAAUUUCUUGUGGUUCUUUUUCUUCCUAGGGUCAGAAUAAAAUCUUUCAAAAGAUUUCUUGGGAACUGAGAUAAGAGCAGAUUUGCGUCCCUUAUCAGUGGGUCUUUAGCUCCAUGGUGCACAUUUAGGAACAUCCUGAACUUGGAAAUGGAUACUCCUUUGGGAUGCC